rnacentral:lncRNA from 1 species
CUACUUAAACAGAAUUAGACUCAAUUACAUUAUGAACCAAACAAUAAGAUAUGAACAUCAUGAAAGAGAUACAGCUUAUGGCAUAACAUUACCUUCAUUUCAUCUUCAAAUUGAACCUUACAUCAUGAGAUAUUAAGAACUUGUACCUGUGAUUGAAGGAAUAAAGAAACAAUGAAGGAUCAUUCGUGCUAACAGCAGAAAUCGAC